rnacentral:rRNA from 1 species
UACGUAGGGUGCAAGCGUUGUCCGGAAUUAUUGGGCGUAAAGAGCUCGUAGGCGGUUCGUCGCGUCGGCUGUGAAAACCCGGAGCUCAACUCCGGGCCUGCAGUCGAUACGGGCGGACUCGAGUUCGGCAGGGGAGACUGGAAUUCCUGGUGUAGCGGUGAAAUGCGCAGAUACCAGGAAGAACACCCGUGGCUAAGGCGGUUCUCUAGUACGGUACUGACGCUGAGACGCGAAAGCGUGGGGAGCGAACAGG